AGAGGAGAAGAAUCAAGUCUAGGAAGGAGCCAAGUCGUAGCUUUAAAUUGGUUCCAACGAAGCGAGAACUUUGCCAAAGUCAGGAGCAGAACAGGAGCGGAACUUGAAAAUACUCUCUUUCCGUGGUGCCAUUGAUUUGGCUCGGAUUAAAGGUGUCGAGAUUGUGAUCACUGAUCUCAGCAAUGCUUGCAGGAACAGAUACCCCUUCCAGGAAUAUGCAGAUAAGAAGCAGAAGAAAAGAGCAGGGGAUGGAAUUGAGAUCAGAAGACAGAGGAAGACAAGACAUUUCCCUGGGACACACUCAUGUUUAUGGAAUGAAUUGAGGCGCGGCACAGUCCGGAACUGAUCAGUGCAAGGGAGCCGAUAUCCCGGUGGUGGAUUUCAAGUUUUAGGAGGGGCACAGGUAACCGCCAAAGGGAGACAAAGCCGCCAAGGAGAAUGAAGAAAUUGCCAAGGAGGAAAAAGACAGAAGGUAAGUUCCAUCGAACACCAUUUUUUAAAACUCUGGGCCACUAAUGUUUGUUUUUAUAACCCGUAAUGUGGGCUCUA